rnacentral:rRNA from 1 species
AUUGAACGCUGGCGGCAUGCCUUACACAUGCAAGUCGAACGGCAGCACGGACUUCGGUCUGGUGGCGAGUGGCGAACGGGUGAGUAAUGUAUCGGAACGUACCUUUCAGUGGGGGAUAACGUAGCGAAAGUUACGCUAAUACCGCAUAUUCUGUGAGCAGGAAAGCAGGGGAUCGCAAGACCUUGCGCUGAUUGAGCGGCCGAUAUCAGAUUAGCUAGUUGGUGAGGUAAAGGCUCACCAAAGGCGACGAUCUGUAGCGGGUCUGAGAGGAUGAUCCGCCACACUGGAACUGAGACACGGUCCAGACUCCUACGGAGGCAGCAGUGGGGAAUUUUGGACAAUGGGGCAACCCUGAUCCAGCCAUGCCGCGUGAGUGAAGAAGG